ACUAUAGCCAGUGCUGUUGGGAGUGACGUUACUAUUGAAGACAGGGUAAGAUGGUGAAGGGAAUGGGCAGGCUCAUGGAUCUGGUGGCCAGCACUGGAUCUAAGGUGGCCGCCACCAUGGAGAACACUCAGCUAAGAAGAAGAUUGCUCCUCAUCUCAUCUCUCAAUCUCAGAAGAUUGUUCCUCCUGGCAAUGGAGACAUUGGCAACUCAUUCCAGUACCCAGGAGCGCCGUAUGGAUGUUAGGAUGAUUCUGAGGGCAUGUGACUGACAGGGGCCCUAAAAAACAAUUAUUUAAAUUGUCCUAUCAUCAUUAAUAUAAUAUUUUAUUUACAAUGUACUAAUAAAACUAAUAACGGUUUCUUUUUCUUUUCUGUUUUUUGGCAAAAAGUAAACAUCCAGACAGCCUCUGUAUUGCCCCC
rnacentral:lncRNA from 13 species